rnacentral:lncRNA from 1 species
AUGAGAGUCUUAUAGCUCUCCAGAUGAUCAAUUGGGUCGAUAGAGCCGUCGUAUGGCUCCAUCUGCGGCAUCUUGAAUCGAAACAUAAUCGAUUCAUCCAUAAUGUGUUGAGAAAGAGGUUGGAUAGUGUGGAAGUCAUAAUCAUUGGAUGACUUUCGAACUUCCAUCUGAAGUCGGACAAGUUGGUAGUCGAUCUCUUUGAACUUGCGCUUGUAGUCGUCGAGCUGUCGUUGUCGAGAUAAUCUAAGGGUAGAGUCCCCUGAAGAAUUUGAGGAUGG